rnacentral:rRNA from 1 species
UACGGGGGGGGUAAGCGUUGUUCGGAAUUACUGGGCGUAAAGCGCACGUAGGCGGCUUUGUAAGUUAGAGGUGAAAGCCCGGGGCUCAACUCCGGAACUGCCUUUAAGACUGCAUCGCUUGAAUCCGGGAGAGGUGAGUGGAAUUCCGAGUGUAGAGGUGAAAUUCGUAGAUAUUCGGAAGAACACCAGUGGCGAAGGCGGCUCACUGGACCGGUAUUGACGCUGAGGUGCGAAAGCGUGGGGAGCAAACAGG